AUGGAGAGGAAGGCGGUGUGCAUCUCUCUUGUCAUCUUCGCGCUCGUAUUGUUCGCUGGCCCGGACCCAGUGGCCGCGGCGGUCUACAGCGUGGGCGAGGUGGUGAUGCCAAUGUCACCGUCCUUGAGGCUGGAGGACAGCGUGUCGCCGGAGCUCGGGGUGGACCUGGACGUGCACCACCGCGUCUUCGGCGACGUCGGCAAGGGAGCCCUGGACCCCAACAAGUCAGCCUGCAAGCCGAAGUGCGCCGGGGACGGACAGCCGUACACCGGCCGGGGAUGCCAAGCCAUUUACGGUUGCGUCCCUAAAUAA
rnacentral:rRNA from 1 species